rnacentral:misc_RNA from 1 species
AAGUCGUAACAAGGUUUCCGUAGGUGAACCUGCGGAAGGAUCAUUAACACGUAUCCAAACGUUAAACCCCCGUGAACUUUCAGUCCUGCUCUUGUAGCUUGUGUGUGUAAGCAGCAAUCUCGGUAAAUCAAGUGGGAGAAAAGUUCUGAUUCGAGACCUCUGCACCAUGUGGGUUACAAUUGAGCGGUAGAAGCAGUGGCAUGGCGUCCCAAGCCUCCAAGUGAAUGUCAGUGUCAUUUUGGAACAAGUGAGGGAUAACGCUUCUCGGUUGCUAGAGGUCGCUCACCGACCGGCAGACAUGUCACAGGGCCUUGCGCCCCCUAAUCACCCCUUGCCUAUCACCCCCGCCUCCUGAUGAAAGUCCGAGGCAAAAAAAACCGAACAACUGUUAACAAUGGAUAUCUUGGUUCUC